rnacentral:rRNA from 1 species
CAGUCGCCACGGUAAUACGAAGGGUGCAAGCGUUACUCGGAAUUACUGGGCGUAAAGCGUGCGUAGGUGGUGGUUUAAGUCCGUUGUGAAAGCCCUGGGCUCAACCUGGGAAUUGCAGUGGAUACUGGGUCACUAGAGUGUGGUAGAGGAUAGUGGAAUUUCCGGUGUAGCAGUGAAAUGCGUAGAGAUCGGAAGGAACAUCUGUGGCGAAGGCGACUAUCUGGGCCAACACUGACACUGAGGCACGAAAGCGUGGGGAGCAAACAGGAUUAGAUACCCGGGUAGUCCCUGUCUCUUAUAA